rnacentral:rRNA from 1 species
CGAGGAGCUUGCUCCUCUGACGUUAGCGGCGGACGGGUGAGUAACACGUGGAUAACCUACCUAUAAGACUGGGAUAACUUCGGGAAACCGGAGCUAAUACCGGAUAAUAUAUUGAACCGCAUGGUUCAAUAGUGAAAGACGGUUUUGCUGUCACUUAUAGAUGGAUCCGCGCCGCAUUAGCUAGUUGGUAAGGUAACGGCUUACCAAGGCAACGAUGCGUAGCCGACCUGAGAGGGUGAUCGGCCACACUGGAACUGAGACACGGUCCAGACUCCUACGGGAGGCAGCAGUAGGGAAUCUUCCGCAAUGGGCGAAAGCCUGACGGAGCAACGCCGCGUGAGUGAUGAAGGUCUUCGGAUCGUAAAACUCUGUUAUUAGGGAAGAACAAAUGUGUAAGUAACUAUGCACGUCUUGACGGUACCUAAUCAGAAAGCCACGGCUAACUACGUGCCAGCAGCCGCGGUAAUACGUAGGCGGCAAGCGUUAUCCGGAAUUAUUGGGCGUAAAGCGCGCGUAGGCGGUUUUUUAAGUCUGAUGUGAAAGCCCACGGCUCAACCGUGGAGGGUCAUUGGAAACUGGAAAACUUGAGUGCAGAAGAGGAAAGUGGAAUUCCAUGUGUAGCGGUGAAAUGCGCAGAGAUAUGGAGGAACACCAGUGGCGAAGGCGACUUUCUGGUCUGUAACUGACGCUGAUGUGCGAAGGCGUGGGGAUCAAACAGGAUUAG